rfam:Parcubacteria bacterium GW2011_GWA2_38_13 TS74_C0027, whole genome shotgun sequence.
GGAGAGAUGCCUGAGUGGCUGAAAGGAGCGGUUUGCUAAACCGUUGAACCUGUUAAAGGGUUCCGUGGGUUCGAAUCCCACUCUCUCCG